GCCCCUGUGAUUGCAGGGGGGGGAUGCCUAUGC
rnacentral:sRNA from 1 species